GACGAACGCUGGCGGCGUGCUUAACACAUGCAAGUCGAGCGGUAAGGCCCUUUCGGGGGUACACGAGCGGCGAACGGGUGAGUAACACGUGGGUGACCUGCCUUCAGCUCUGGGAUAAGCCUGGGAAACUGGGUCUAAUACCGGAUAUGACUCCAUGAUGCAUGUUGUGGGGUGGAAAGCUUUUGCGGCUGGAGAUGGGCCCGCGGCCUAUCAGCUUGUUGGUGGGGUAACGGCCCACCAAGGCGA
rnacentral:rRNA from 1 species